GACAGAGGUCCCAAGCGUUAGGCGGAAUCACUGGGCUUAAAGCGUGUGUAGGCGGAUCGUUAAGUGCUUUGUGAAAUCCCACAGCUCAACUGUGGAACUGCUUGGCAUACUGGCGGUCUUGAGCCAUCUAGGGGUCGCUGGAACAAACGGUGGAGCGGUGAAAUGCGUAGAUAUCGUUUGGAACGCCAAUGGUGAAAACAGGCGACUGGGGAUGUGCUGACGCUGAGACACGAAAGCCAGGGGAGCAAACGGG
rnacentral:rRNA from 1 species